rnacentral:rRNA from 1 species
GGCUCUAAGCUUCGCACUAUCCUCUGUGGACAUACCACUUGUUGCCUCGACGGAUCAGCCCGCUCCCGGUAAAACGGGACGGCCCGCCAGAGGACCCCUAAACUCUGUUUCUAUAUGUAACUUCUGAGUAAAACCAUAAAUAAAUCAAAACUUUCAACAACGGAUCUCUUGGUUCUGGCAUCGAUGAAGAACGCAGCAAAAUGCGAUAAGUAAUGUGAAUUGCAGAAUUCAGUGAAUCAUCGAAUCUUUGAACGCACAUUGCGCCCGCCAGUAUUCUGGCGGGCAUGCCUGUUCGAGCGUCAUUUCAACCCUCAAGCACAGCUUGGUGUUGGGACUCGCGUUAAUUCGCGUUCCCCAAAUUGAUUGGCGGUCACGUCGAGCUUCCAUAGCGUAGUAGUAAAACCCUCGUUACUGGUAAUCGUCGCGGCCACGCCGUUAAACCCCAACUUCUGAAUGUUGACCUCGGAUCAGGUAGGAAUACCCGCUGAACUUAAGCAUAUCAAUAAGCGGAGGAAA